AGUUUAAAGAUGUGUUACAUCAAUUACAUUCGAAUUAUAGAUAUGAGUUUAUGUAGAGCAGACGGACGCCCGAGGGCUUCCGUCUCACGAGUGCACAGGUGUGUGUGGAUGAAAGAGAAGGCGUGCACAUGUCCCCGAAAGGACCAGCGACAACCGACUCUACAUUCAUUCAAUAAUGAUCCUUCCGCAGGUUCACCUACGGAAA
rnacentral:misc_RNA from 1 species